rnacentral:rRNA from 1 species
UACGGAGGGUGCAAGCGUUUAUCCGGAUUUACUGGGUUUAAAGGGUGUGUAGGCGGACUUUUAAGUCAGGGGUGAAAUCCCGAGGCUCAACCUCGGAACUGCCUUUGAUACUAUUGGUCUUGAAUGUUGUUGAGGUGGGCGGAACGGGUCAUGUAGCGGUGAAAUGCAUAGAUAUGACCCGGAACACCGAUUGCGAAGGCAGCCCGCUAAGCAACUAUUGACGCUGAGGCACGAAAGCGUGGGGAUCAAACAGG